AUAAUGUGUUGAGAGUAACUGGGCACACAUGCCAUAUUGCCAACAUCCUUUGUGUGCAGUGUACUACCUGUGAAGGGUUGAAAACUCAUCUUAGGGGAUUGCUCAAAGGCUCAAUUUUGCAUCAGAUUACAAAUCUUCCGGAUGUUGUUCAGACCUUUAUUUCAAUUACCUUAUUGACCUGUGUAUGUCAGAGAUAACACCAGCAGCUACAUAAAUGGAAUUCAGGAUAGUCUCAA